AUUGAACGCUGGCGGCAGGCCUAACACAUGCAAGUCGAGCGGAUGAAGGGAGCUUACUCCUGGAUUCAGCGGCGGACGGGUGAGUAAUGCCUAGGAAUCUGCCUGGUAGUGGGGGAUAACGUCCGGAAACGGGCGCUAAUACCGCAUACGUCCUGAGGGAGAAAGUGGGGGAUCUUCGGACCUCACGCUAUCAGAUGAGCCUAGGUCGGAUUAGCUAGUUGGUGGGGUAAAGGCCUACCAAGGCGACGAUCCGUAACUGGUCUGAGAGGAUGAUCAGUCACACUGGAACUGAGACACGGUCCAGACUCCUACGGGAGGCAGCAGUGGGGAAUAUUGGACAAAGGGCGAAAGCCUGAUCCAGCCAUGCCGCGUGUGUGAAGAAGGUCUUCGGAUUGUAAAGCACUUUAAGUUGGGAGGAAGGGCAGUAAGUUAAUACCUUGCUGUUUUGACGUUACCAACAGAAUAAGCACCGGCUAACUUCGUG
rnacentral:rRNA from 1 species